rnacentral:lncRNA from 1 species
UAGAGACAGAGUAUUGUUCUGUUGCCCAGGCUGGAGUGCAAUGGCACCAUCAUACCUCACUACAGACUCAAACUCCUGGCCUCAAGCGACGCAAGGAGCAGGGAGGACAGAGGACAAAGAAGCUGGCUGGGCCUUGCAACUCAGAGCAUCUGGGCUGGGAAAUGCAGCAGGACAUGGAAUUGGUGAAGAGUAAUUAAAGAACUAUGGGAACUCCAUUUUAGACCUGGUAGGUAUUAGUAGUAAAAGUUGUCAUUCAGUUUUAUUUUUGGCAUUUAUAAUAGGUUCAAAUAUAAAAGAAGAGACAACACCAAAAUAAAUAGAUCCACAGGGCAGUAAAUUCUUCCAAUGGUCUCAACGUCCUCAGUAAUUACUUGAUAGUUUCCAAUAGUAACUGCAUCUAUAGCCAUGCAUAUUUCCCCAUUUGAGGGAAAUCU